CAGUAGCCGCGGUAAUACGGAGGGUGCAAGCGUUAAUCGGAAUUACUGGGCGUAAAGCGCACGCAGGCGGUCUGACAAGUCAGAUGUGAAAUCCCCGGGCUUAACCUGGGAACUGCAUUUGAAACUGUCAGGCUGGAGUCUUGUAGAGGGGGGUAGAAUUCCAGGUGUAGCGGUGAAAUGCGUAGAGAUCGGGAGGAACAUCAGUGGCGAAGGCGGCCAUCUGGGACAACACUGACGCUGAGGCACGAAAGCGUGGGGAGCAAACAGGAUUAGAUACCCCUGUAGUCCCUGUCUCUUAUAA
rnacentral:rRNA from 1 species